GACGAACGCUGGCGGCGUGCUUAACACAUGCAAGUCGAACGGAAAGGCCCGGCGUUUGUUGGUUGCUCGAUUGGCGAACGGGUGAGUAACACGUGAGUAACCUGCCCUUGUCUGUGGGAUAACUUCAGGAAACUGGGGCGAAUACCGGGUAUGAUCUCCUGCUGCAUGUGGUGGGUUGGUGAGUGUCGGCGGUUGGGGCUGGACUCGCUGCUUAUCAGCUGGUUGGGGUGGUAGGUGCUUACCAAGGCUUUGACGGGUAGCCUGCCUGAGAGGGUUACCGGCCACAUUGGGACUGAGAUACGGACCAGACUCCUACGGGAGGCAGCAGUGGGGAAUAUUGCAGAAUGGGCGGAAGCCUGAUGCAGCAACGCCGCGUGCGGGAUGACGGCCUUCGGGUUGUAAACCGAUUUCGAAUGUGACGAAGCGUGAGUGACGGUAAUGGGUAAAGAAGCACCGGCUAACUACGUG
rnacentral:rRNA from 1 species